rnacentral:rRNA from 1 species
UACGAAGGGGGCUAGCGUUGCUCGGAAUUACUGGGCGUAAAGCGCACGUAGGCGGCCCUUUAAGUCGGAGGUGAAAUCCUGGAGCUCAACUCCAGAACUGCCUUCGAUACUGAAGAGCUCGAGUCCGGGAGAGGUGAGUGGAACUGCGAGUGUAGAGGUGAAAUUCGUAGAUAUUCGCAAGAACACCAGUGGCGAAGGCGGCUCACUGGCCCGGUACUGACGCUGAGGUGCGAAAGCGUGGGGAGCAAACAGG